UACGAAGGGGGCUAGCGUUGCUCGGAAUCACUGGGCGUAAAGGGUGCGUAGGCGGGUCUUUAAGUCAGGGGUGAAAUCCUGGAGCUCAACUCCAGAACUGCCUUUGAUACUGAAGAUCUUGAGUUCGGGAGAGGUGAGUGGAACUGCGAGUGUAGAGGUGAAAUUCGUAGAUAUUCGCAAGAACACCAGUGGCGAAGGCGGCUCACUGGCCCGGAUCUGACGCUGAGGCGCGAAAGCGUGGGGAGCAAACAGG
rnacentral:rRNA from 1 species